rnacentral:misc_RNA from 1 species
CACAAACCAGAUUUCUGGUGGGA